GAGGAAAGUCCGGGCUUCAUGAAAACACGGCGCCGGAUAACAUCCGGGGGGCGCAAGCCUACGGAAAGUGCAACAGAAAACAAACCGCCUUGCUUGGCCUCUGGCGAAGCAGGGUAAGGGUGAAACGGUGCGGUAAGAGCGCACCAGCGUCCUGGUAACAGGGCGGCUUGGCAAACCCCGCCGGAAGCAAGGCCAAAUAGGGAAGGCAGGAUACUUCGGUAUCAGGGUCCGUUUUCAGACAAGCCGAAUUCUGCACAGAACCCGGCUUA
rnacentral:RNase_P_RNA from 1 species